rnacentral:rRNA from 1 species
GUGCCAGCCGCCGCGUUAAUACCGGCAGCUCGAGUGAUGACCGAUAUUAUUGGGCCUAAAGCGUCCGUAGCCGGCCACGUAGGUCCGUCGGGAAAUCCACUCGCUUAACGAGUGGGCGUCCGGCGGAAACCACGUGGCUUGGGGCCGGAAGACCUGAGGGGUACGUCCGGGGUAGGAGUGAAAUCCUGUAAUCCUGGACGGACCGUCGGUGGCGAAAGCGCCUCAGGAAGACGGACCCGACGGUGAGGGACGAAAGCUAGGGUCUCGAACCGGAUUAGAAACCCCUGUAGUCC